rnacentral:lncRNA from 1 species
UAAAGCUAAGGAAACUCUUGUCUGCAAAGCCCUGAAGUGCUACUGCGGUGACGGAGGAAUAGCUUACUCAUCCUUGGUGUGUCUGAGGAAGUGAUUGGAAGAGAAUCAUCCUUCAUGAAGCAUUCGGAGGAGGUGGUCAUCCUUUGUGAUUAUUCAAAGGAGGUGUUUGUAAGUUCAUCUCUUGUGGUUUCAAGAGAGGUGGUAUUUCUAAACUCUUACAAAUUAUUUUUCUUUGUGACUAAUAUUUGUAAUUGUUUUGUGAUAGUGAAAAAGGUUUAUCNUGUUAGAGAUAAGCGACUGGACGUAGGAUCCUUGUGAUUUGAACCAGGAUAAAAUCACCUGUGCAUUUUUCUCUUUCCCUUACUCUUGGUUUAUAUUUUAUUAUCAACUUGGUAAGAAAAAUUAAAGAGAAAAAUUAUUAAAGGCACGCGAAAAAGAAAUAACCAAUUCACCCCCCCUCUUGGUUUGUUCCACGCUAAUUAUUCCGUUGCAGCAAUUCUAACAAUUGGCAUCAGAGCUUGCUUUGAUAGUCAUUCAAAUGGCAGGAUCACAUCAAACCUUUGCAGAGGGUGCUUCAAUCAAUAGACCCCCACUAUUCACAGGUGAGAAUUAUGCAUUUUGGAAGGUAAGAAUGCAAAUAUUCN